rnacentral:rRNA from 1 species
GAUGAACGCUGGCGGCGUGCCUAACACAUGCAAGUCGAGCGAGAAGCUGAUUUGAGAUUACUUCGGUAUGAUCUGUUCGGUGGAUAGCGGCGGACGGGUGAGUAACGCGUAGGCAACCUGCCCACAGGAGAGGGAUAGUCGUUGGAAACGACGGGUAAUACCUCAUAAUACGAGAGAGUCGCAUGGCUUUCUUGUCAAAGAUUUAUCGUCUGUGGAUGGGCCUGCGUUGGAUUAGUUAGUUGGUGGGGUAACGGCCUACCAAGACAUCGAUCCAUAGCCGACCUGAGAGGGUGAUCGGCCACAUUGGAACUGAGACACGGUCCAAACUCCUACGGGAGGCAGCAGUGGGGAAUAUUGCACAAUGGGCGAAAGCCUGAUGCAGCAACGCCGCGUGAGCGAAGAAGGUCCUAUGGAUCGUAAAGCUCUGAUCUGAGGGAAGAUAAUGACGGUACCUCAGGAGAAAGCCCCGGCUAACUACGUGCCAGCAGCCGCGGUAAUACGUAGGGGGCAAGCGUUAUCCGGAUUUAUUGGGCGUAAAGGGUGCGUAGGUGGUCCUUUAAGCGAGAGGUUUAAGGCAACGGCUUAACCGUUGUUCGCCUUUCGAACUGGGGGACUUGAGUAUAGGAGAGGAAGAUGGAAUUCCUGGUGUAGCGGUGGAAUGCGUAGAUAUCAGGAAGAACACCAAUGGCGAAGGCAAUCUUCUAGACUAUUACUGACACUGAGAUACGAAAGCUAGGGGAGCAAACAGGAUUAGAUACCCUGGUAGUCCUAGCUGUAAACGAUGUUCACUAGAUGUAGGGGGGUAUCGACCCCUUCUAUGUCGUAGCUAACGCGUUAAGUGAACCGCCUGGGGAGUACGACCGCAAGGUUGAAACUCAAAGGAAUUGACGGGGGCCCGCACAAGCGGUGGAGUAUGUGGUUUAAUUCGACGCAACGCGAAGAACCUUACCUGGGCUUGAACUGUUAAUGGUAAGAAUCAGAAAUGAUAAUGACUCGCAAGAGAGUUAACAGAGGUGCUGCAUGGUUGUCGUCAGCUCGUGUCGUGAGAUGUUGGGUUAAGUCCCGCAACGAGCGUAACCCUUAUCCUAUGUUACCUGUAGCAAUACAGGGUCUCUUAGGAAACUGCCAUUGAUAAAAUGGAGGAAGGUGAGGAUAACGUCAAAUCAUCAUGGCCCUUAUGUCCAGGGCUACACACGUACUACAAUGGUCGGUACAGAGGGUCGCAAUAUCGUAAGAUGGAGCCAAUCCAUAAAAGCCGAUCUCAGUUCGGAUUGUGGGCUGCAAUUCGCCCACAUGAAGUAGGAAUCGCUAGUAAUCGCAGAUCAGCAGGCUGCGGUGAAUACGUUCCCGGGCCUUGUACACACCGCCCGUCACACCACGAAAGUCAGCUGUAACAGAAGUCGUUGAGUUAACCGUAAGGAGACAGACGCCUAAGUUAUGGUUGGUAAUUGGGGUG